GAGCUGGUGGAGGGGGCCGCCCGCCACGUCAGCGCCCGCCCGCCUCGGCGCUCCGCCCGGCUCUCCCGGGCCUCCCCAUAGAAGGUACAUGACUAGCCAAAGCUGGGAGAAGGGGAGGACUGGACUGAAGCUCAUGAAUUAGGCCAUGCUGUCACUGUCCUGGGUUUCAGGAGGAAAGGAAGAGAAGCCCAGUGAAGAUUAUGGAGGAAAGCCUCAGGAAGGAGGUGAAGCAGGGACUACCCUUCUGGAACCUCCAUCAACUCUCCUGGCUACGUGAGCAGUUGACGUGCAACCAAAGGCCUGCAUGCUUCCCCCUCUCCAGACAGGUUUCUCUGGAACCCCAACAGACAGACAGACAGUGAUCUUUCUCCUCUCCAGACAACAUCCUCAGCUGCCGCCGCUGACUCAGCCUCCCCGCCCUCCCCGUGGGUGGAGUAGGUAGGCAGCCUGUCCCUGGGGUUGAAGUUGUAGGUGACAUAAGGGUAUAGUUGCAAACGUCUGCAGAUAGGAGACCUCUGAUUUCUCCCCAAACCUUGGGACAUUCACAGCUCUCUCUCCUUUACCUGUCAGUCAGCCCCACCUUCCAGUUCCAAACCCAGACAACCAUCAGUUCCUUCUGUAGUAGACUGGAACACAGUGUCCCUGGAGGCACAGAAGGCCCUAGCUGAAAUGGCCUUUGGGACUAGCUAGCAUUCCCUUUGAGGAGAAACAGACUGCCCACCCAUUCCAGGAAGGCCCAGGAGGCCUGGCUACAACAUCUGAAAAGAGAGCAACUGACAUCCCAAGUGACUUUCUUGUUCAGCACAGCAGACACAGCACCUUGGGUCUAUAAGAAAAUGUUUUCAUAUAGAAUAGUAAGAUCUUUGCCUUUAUGUCAAUGUAGUUGUAAAGUAUAAUUUUACACACACACACACACACACACACACACACACAUUUUUCUGGAAAAGGGAGUCCACACAGGCAAAACUGCCUAGGGCCCAUGAAAAUCAUAUCACAGCCCUGCUUAUAUGGGGAUCAGCUUUCUCUUCUAUAAAAUACAGAUCACAAUACUUUCCACACCAUUCCACCUCCAGUUUCAUCAGUAUUCUGCCUAAACAUCACUGACCUUAACAUUUCCAGAUUUGAAAUGUUUAGAAGCCCCCCCACGUAUCCAAUGUGUAACAGCUAGAUUCCUUAGUGCUGCAUUUGAGGCCUUUCACUGUUUUCCACUUUGAGCUUCUACCAUUGUCCCCUUGUACACAACUCUCCGGCUAGGAACAUCAUACCUCGUGCUGCUUGUUCCGGGAACAGGCUGGACCUUGAGUUCCAGCAUGCCUUUGCACACUCAGGCCCCUUUUGCUUCAAAAGCAUUCCCUACCCCUUCUCUGCCUGAUGGUGUCCUAUGACAGCACAGCUAGUGAAGUUGCAGCAUCCAGUGAAAAAGAAAACGUGGGGCUCCUUGCCGAAAACUUGUUGAGAAUUUCAAGAUGGUAGAGGAGAACAUUCAACCAUGUAUGGGGCUCUUCUGUGCUCAUGGCCCUGUGGACCUGCCCAUGAAGCCAUCUCUGCCUACUCCUUUCCUGGGAACAUCUCAAAUGACACCUGAUUUUUGAAGCAGUUUUUACUCUUCAAGACCAGCAAUAGGAAGUCACAAAACGAAGCACUUCUUAUGUUCCAGGCAUCAUGCCAAGCACUUUACAGCCAAGGUUUUAUUUAAUCCUCACAACCACUCCACGAGAAAUCUGUUCCAAAACACUUGGAAAGCUCCUCCUAACAAGCCGAGGCUCAUUUGGCAUCACCUCUUACAGGAAGCCUUUCACAACUUCUAGCUCUUCCAAAGGCUGAGUUCCCAUAACGUCCAGGCUCACCUCUGGCCCAUAACUUACUGUAUUUACCACAACUGGGCUGAGAGACCUUUGAAGGUAAAAACAGUAUCCAAGUCAUCUCUGGAUCUCCAGCCUCCAGCCUGGGACCUCUUUGGCAUCUGGAAGCACACAUUAAUUCUCACAGAAACUCUUGGAGGUAGCUGCAAGAGCUGCUACCGACCUUGAUUAGAGUCAUUACAUAUGGACCUUCAUGAAUCAGAGGAAGAAUGAGGCCUGGAGUCAUAAAGGGGCUUGACUGAAGUCACAGGGCUCAUGGCAGGACCAGGAUCAAAAUAGGUCCCAGUGUGUGGCAGGUAAGUGGCAGGCUUGAAGGAAUGACUAACCGGGUGUGUUAUAAAUUCCUGACCCCCUCCCGCUGCAGCCCUGAUAGGACCACUUAGUUUCCACCAUGGACACUCCACUGUCCUUAUCCCAUGGGCUUUUGCUGGGCUAUUAGAAUCAAGUUCUCCCUCUUCUUAGCCCCCUUCUGACUUUGUGCCUUGAACUUGCAAGUUGGUCUUUUGCCUGAUGAGGAUGAUCUUGUUAAAUCUCUAUUAUGCAAACCAGGACUCUGUGGGAGCCCCACUACCUACCUUUUCCUCCAGUCAGUUUCCCAGAAGGCUAGAAUUUGGUCCCUGCUACCUUCUUUCCUGGCCAUUCCUAUCACCUGCUGUGAGACCUGAUAACAUGGUGUUUUCCUUGCCCCUGGGGAUACCUCUGUCAGCAUUGCCAAAAUACUUUGAUUGAUAUUUACUACUCUCGGCCUGAACUCCCUGUUGGCACUACACCUGGGGCAACUGGAGAUCACUAGAUCUGCCCGCUCUGCUCUUGGCAUCCUGAGUUCUCUUCUUCCCAUCCCUCCUGGUCAUACCUGAUACUGACACAUAAGUUGGCUUUUUAAGCUUGCUAUCUGUGUGACUUUUGCUUUUUGAAAACUGUCUUCCCUCUUCCAGUCAAGCAGUGCUUACUGGAUUAUUGACUUCCAAAGGCAGUGGUUCCCAAACUUAAGUGUACUUUAGAAACAUCUGGAGAGCUUGAUAAACAGCUCUGUACCCAGAAACUCUGGUUCAGUGAAUCUGGAGACAGGGCCUUGGAAUAUAUAUUUUUAAUGAGGCAGAUGCUAAGUAGACCAAAGUUGGAGAGAAGGUAGGCACUGUGGUAGUUAAUAAGAAUAACAGGAAUCUCACACAUGUGCAUUUUAUAUCAGUUUGUAAGAUAAUAUUAGUUCAUCUACCUCACCCUUGUGUUAGAACACAACAAAACAAUGAAACAAUACAAAAUACCUCCAUGAACUAGCAUAGAAAAUAAGGCUCUGGAGUCAGAGAAUCCAGGCCUCCACUUACUAACCAAAAGACCUUGGAGAAGUCACUUAACCUUUCUAACAUUGUGUUUGUCCAUCUAUUUUAAUGGAGAUCUUAAUUCCUUAGAGCUUUGUUGUGAAUAUUGAAUGACUUAUUGCAAAAUGGCCAUUUUAGUAUCCAAUAUAUGUUUGAAGAAUUAAGGAACAAAU